GACAGAGGUCCCGAGCGUUAGGCGGAAUCACUGGGCUUAAAGCGUGUGUAGGCGGAUUUGUAAGUACCUUGUGAAAUCCCACGGCUCAACCGUGGAACUGCUUGGUAUACUGCUUAUCUUGGGCCAUCUAGGGGCUACCGGAACAAGUGGUGGAGCGGCGAAAUGCGUAGAUAUCACUUGGAACGCCAAUGGUGAAAACAGGUAGCUGGGGAUGUGCCGACGCUGAGACACGAAAGCCAGGGGAGCGAACGGG
rnacentral:rRNA from 1 species